rnacentral:rRNA from 1 species
AUUGAACGCUGGCGGCAGGCCUAACACAUGCAAGUCGAGCGGAUGAAGGGAGCUUGCUCCUGGAUUCAGCGGCGGACGGGUGAGUAAUGCCUAGGAAUCUGCCUGGUAGUGGGGGAUAACGUCCGGAAACGGGCGCUAAUACCGCAUACGUCCUGAGGGAGAAAGUGGGGGAUCUUCGGACCUCACGCUAUCAGAUGAGCCUAGGUCGGAUUAGCUAGUUGGUGGGGUAAAGGCCUACCAAGGCGACGAUCCGUAACUGGUCUGAGAGGAUGAUCAGUCACACUGGAACUGAGACACGGUCCAGACUCCUACGGGAGGCAGCAGUGGGGAAUAUUGGACAAUGGGCGAAAGCCUGAUCCAGCCAUGCCGCGUAUGUGAAGAAGGUCUUCGGAUUGUAAAGCACUUUAAGUUGGGAGGAAGGGCAGUAAGUUAAUACCUUGCUGUUUUGACGUUACCAACAGAAUAAGCACCGGCUAACUUCGU